UACGUAGGGGGCAAGCGUUGUCCGGAAUUAUUGGGCGUAAAGAGCGUGUAGGCGGUCCGGUAAGUCGGCUGUGAAAGUCCAGGGCUCAACCCUGGGAUGCCGGUCGAUACUGCCGUGCUUGAGGACUGGAGAGGAGACUGGAAUUUACGGUGUAGCGGUGAAAUGCGUAGAUAUCGUAAGGAAGACCAGUGGCGAAGGCGGGUCUCUGGACAGUUCCUGACGCUGAGGCACGAAGGUCAGGGGAGCAAACGGG
rnacentral:rRNA from 1 species